GACAGCCAGGAUGUUGGCUUAGAAGCAGCCAUCAUUUAAAGAAAGCGUAAUAGCUCACUGGUCGAGUCGGCCUGCGCGGAAGAUGUAACGGGGCUAAACCAUGCACCGAAGCUGCGGCAGCGACACUAUGUGUUGUUGGGUAGGGGAGCGUUCUGUAAGCCUGUGAAGGUGUACUGUGAGGUAUGCUGGAGGUAUCAGAAGUGCGAAUGCUGACAUAAGUAACGAUAAAGCGGGUGAAAAGCCCGCUCGCCGGAAGACCAAGGGUUCCUGUCCAACGUUAAUCGGGGCAGGGUGAGUCGACCCCUAAGGCGAGGCCGAAAGGCGUAGUCGAUGGGAAACAGGUUAAUAUUCCUGUACUUGGUGUUACUGCGAAGGGGGGACGGAGAAGGCUAUGUUGGCCGGGCGACGGUUGUCCCGGUUUAAGCGUGUAGGCUGGUUUUCCAGGCAAAUCCGGAAAAUCAAGGCUGAGGCGUGAUGACGAGGCACUACGGUGCUGAAGCAACAAAUGCCCUGCUUCCAGGAAAAGCCUCUAAGCAUCAGGUAACAUCAAAUCGUACCCCAAACCGACACAGGUGGUCAGGUAGAGAAUACCAAGGCGCUUGAGAGAACUCGGGUGAAGGAACUAGGCAAAAUGGUGCCGUAACUUCGGGAGAAGGCACGCUGAUAUGUAGGUGAAGUCCCUCGCGGAUGGAGCUGAAAUCAGUCGAAGAUACCAGCUGGCUGCAACUGUUUAUUAAAAACACAGCACUGUGCAAACACGAAAGUGGACGUAUACGGUGUGACGCCUGCCCGGUGCCGGAAGGUUAAUUGAUGGGGUCAGCGCAAGCGAAGCUCUUGAUCGAAGCCCCGGUAAACGGCGGCCGUAACUAUAACGGUCCUAAGGUAGCGAAAUUCCUUGUCGGGUAAGUUCCGACCUGCACGAAUGGCGUAAUGAUGGCCAGGCUGUCUCCACCCGAGACUCAGUGAAAUUGAACUCGCUGUGAAGAUGCAGUGUACCCGCGGCAAGACGGAAAGACCCCGUGAACCUUUACUAUAGCUUGACACUGAACAUUGAGCCUUGAUGUGUAGGAUAGGUGGGAGGCUUAGAAGUGUGGACGCCAGUCUGCAUGGAGCCGACCUUGAAAUACCACCCUUUAAUGUUUGAUGUUCUAACGUUGACCCGU
rnacentral:rRNA from 1 species